AUUGAACGCUGGCGGCAGGCCUAACACAUGCAAGUCGAGCGAGCGGCGGACGGGUGAGUAAUGUCUGGGAAACUGCCUGAUGGAGGGGGAUAACUACUGGAAACGGUAGCUAAUACCGCAUACCAUCAGAUGUGCCCAGAUGGGAUUAGCGAGUAGGGGGGGUAACGGCUGACCUAGGCGACGACCCCUAGCUGGUCUGAGCGGAUGACCAGCCAUCAUGGAACUGAGACACGGUCCAUACUCCUACGUGAGGCAGCAGUGGGGAAUAUUGCACAAUGGGCUCAAGCCUGAGGCAGCAAUGCCGCUUGUGUGAAGAAGUCGUUCGGGUUGUAAAGCACUUUCAGCGGGGAGGCGUUACCCGCAGAGGAAGCACCGGCUAACUCCGUGCCAGCCGCUGCGGUAAUAC
rnacentral:rRNA from 1 species